CAGUAGCCACGGGAAUACGAAGGGGGCUAGCGUUGCUCGGAAUGACUGGGCGUAAAGGGCGCGUAGGCGGCGAUCAAAGUCAGGCGUGAAAUUCCUGGGCUCAACCUGGGGGCUGCGCUUGAUACUUGGUUGCUUGAGUGGGGAAGAGGGUCGUGGAAUUCCCAGUGUAGAGGUGAAAUUCGUAGAUAUUGGGAAGAACACCGGUGGCGAAGGCGGCGACCUGGUCCUUGACUGACGCUGAGGCGCGAAAGCGUGGGGAGCAAACAGGAUUAGAUACCCGGGUAGUCCCUGUCUCUUAUAC
rnacentral:rRNA from 1 species